AACGCUAGCUACAGGCUUAACACAUGCAAGUCGAGGGGCAGCAUUUUAGUUUGCUUGCAAACUGAAGAUGGCGACCGGCGCACGGGUGAGUAACACGUAUCCAACCUGCCGAUAACUCCGGAAUAGCCUUUCGAAAGAAAGAUUAAUACCGGAUAGCAUACGAAUAUCGCAUGAUAUUUUUAUUAAAGAAUUUCGGUUAUCGAUGGGGAUGCGUUCCAUUAGUUUGUUGGCGGGGUAACGGCCCACCAAGACUACGAUGGGUAGGGGUUCUGAGAGGAAGGUCCCCCACAUUGGAACUGAGACACGGUCCAAACUCCUACGGGAGGCAGCAGUGAGGAAUAUUGGUCAAUGGGCGAGAGCCUGAACCAGCCAAGUAGCGUGAAGGAUGAAGGCUCUAUGGGUCGUAAACUUCUUUUAUAUGGGAAUAAAGUUUUCCACGUGUGGAAUUUUGUAUGUACCAUAUGAAUAAGGAUCGGCUAACUCCGUGCCAGCAGCCGCGGUAAUACGGAGGAUCCGAGCGUUAUCCGGAUUUAUUGGGUUUAAGGGGAGCGUAGGUGGAUUGUUAAGUCAGUUGUGAAAGUUUGUGGCUCAACCGUAAAAUUGCAGUUGAAACUGGCAGUCUUGAGUACAGUAGAGGUGGGCGGAAUUCGUGGUGUAGCGGUGAAAUGCUUAGAUAUCACGAAGAACUCCGAUUG
rnacentral:rRNA from 1 species